UUCGAAUUGGUGUAGUGGCCAACAUUUGACGCUUUCAUACUUGUAUGAACCGUCAAGCCCGGGGUUCGAUUCCCCGAUUCGAAG
rnacentral:tRNA from 1 species